rnacentral:lncRNA from 1 species
UUAGAAUGAAUAUUCAUUCGUGAUGCAUCUUUUUUAUUCCACAAGGUAGAAAAGCAAAUUUACAGUAGCGUGACUUCAGUGUUUCUAGUGAUCUUCAUUCCAUCUCUGAAGAGAAUACACCCUAUGUUAUACAACACAUCCACUAGAUACAAUGACAGAACUGAGGCAUAUGGGGAUCGAGUAGUGGGAUGGCAUUACAAACAAUUUCUUUUAGCCCGGGUGGAAGCUACUCAUCGCACCAGAUGGUGAUCG